GACGAACGCUGGCGGCGUGCUUAACACAUGCAAGUCGAACGGAAAGGCCCUGCUUUUGUGGGGUGCUCGAGUGGCGAACGGGUGAGUAACACGUGAGUAACCUGCCCUUGACUUUGGGAUAACUUCAGGAGACUGGGGCUAAUACCGGAUAGGAGCUCCUGCUGCAUGGUGGGGGUUGGAAAGUUUCGGCGGUUGGGGAUGGACUCGCGGCUUAUCAGCUUGUUGGUGGGGUAGUGGCUUACCAAGGCUUUGACGGGUAGCCGGCCUGAGAGGGUGACCGGCCACAUUGGGACUGAGAUACGGCCCAGACUCCUACGGGAGGCAGAAGUGGGGAAUAUUGCACAAUGGGCGGAAGCCUGAUGCAGCAACGCCGCGUGCGGGAUGACGGCCUUCGGGUUGUAAACCGCUUUCGCCUGUGACGAAGCGUGAGUGACGGUAAUGGGUAAAGAAGCACCGGCUAACUACGUG
rnacentral:rRNA from 1 species